GCAGAGAUAAGUGCAUGGCAGUAUUGUGGUUAUGCAGAUAUCAGUGUUAUGUUAAUGCCCCAGCACAACAAAAAGCUGAUUGACAUUUUCAUUGCUGUAUUCUUAGCUGUUUGUUAACAUGGAAAGAGGCAGUCCAGGAGCAAUGAACAACAUCCUUUUCUCACAGCCACUCUUUCAGAGCACUCAGCCAUCUGCUGGCUUGUCUACCUGCAAUAAUCACUCCUUCUCCCUGCCAAAUUUUGUGCUGCACCAUGCAUGACAUUUCAAAUUAUUUGAUGGACUAAUUUGCAUUUUUCAAAUAAUUUCACAUGCCAAUUAAUUUCAGUCUAUGGUUAAUCUGCCCUUCCACAAGCAGCGUUAUGGAAAGACAUGGAUAAACGCAAACUUUGCCUGUUCUGAGCACAUCAGAGAGGGAGGCCAGGGCUGCUGGGGGCACGAUGUUGAUUCCCUGCUUAGUCCUGAAUUUCACAAAACACAGGAUCCUUCUUCUGCAGUCUUUCACAUCUGUUAUCUGCCAACAGACAUCUCUAAAGAACCUCCUUCUGCAGGCAUGGAAACCAGAACUGCAUAAUGGAAAACCUUCCUAGAGGAAAAAUAGAAAACUAAGAAAUGAGCUUUUUAAAAUCACCAAUCAAAAUGAAAAACAGCUUCAGUGAAGGAGGAUGAGAGCAGUCAGAGCUCAAGUUUGCUGGGGACAUAGAUCUUCCUUUCCCUCUAAUAAAAUACAAAAGAUAGUGGACUUAAUGUCCAUCUUCGUCAUUGCAAGUGGACAGGAAUUUUUUUAGGAUCACUCAGCUGGGAGCCUCUGGGACAAAACAAAGAGUAGAUUGGAUAUUCGGAAGCAAUACUUAAUUGUGAUGGUGAUGAGUCAAAGCAACAGGUUGUCCAGAGAAGUUAUGGAUGCCCAACCCCUGGAAUCGUCCAAAGCCAAGCUGGAUGGGUCUUUGAGCAACCUGGUCCAGUGGAAGGUAUUCCUGUCCAGGGAGGUUGGAACUAGAAGAUCUUAAAGGUGACUAAAUAUCCCUGGGCACAGGAUGAGAAUGUGGAAUCUGAGCACACCUCAAAACCAGCUGGAUUUGAGCCACUCAGUGGGUGAGGUGACAUUGCAGCCCAGCACCCUGUGCUUAAAAUGGACAACCUGAUGUACUGUGCCUACUCCAGUUCAUUCCUCUCUCACUUUGGGAUUGAAGCCAUUCCAGAAAUAGCAGGACAGAUUUUUAAAGAGACUCUCAAAGCCUUGCUCUUCAUCUGAGUCACCAUUCUUCAUGGGACACCCUGAGCUGCAUUCUCAGAAGCUGGCUGCAGGGUCAACAUUUGUAGACCUUUUGUAUUGCCAGUUGGGCACUAAUGAGAGAGCAUCAAUGGAUCAGGAACAGCUGCAUCCACAUUUCUUUCACUGUCCUCAGUUCACCAUGGUAGGCACUGCCCUCUGAAACAAGCUCAUGAAUAGCAGGCUGGAGCAUGUAAAAGGGAUGCCUCUUCCUGUGUCCUCUAAACUGUGUAAUGAAUGCUGUCCUGGGAAACCACUGUAUCUUCACACAAAUAGUUCCUGUGGAAGGAUGCUGUAAGCAGUAUCAAAUUAGCUGCCAUAGAAUUUGGCCACUUAAUGCUUUUGCUGUCAAAGUCACACCCCAUGCUGAGUCACUGUUAAGUGAUUGAGCUGAUAUAAGCGAAUGCAUUGACUAAGUCAUUUAUUUACAUCUUGCUGCCAUCAAUCUAAGGAACUGCUAAAUGUAUUAAAUAAUCAAUCCACUCAGCAGCUGAUAAUGCAGUAGUAGAAAUGAAGAAAUGAAGUCCUACUAGGUUUUUAUUAUUGCUGUCAGAGAGGCUCUUUGGAUGCUCUGAACAUGUGCAAAAGGAUAACAAUUCAACAAAUAUAGCUCACAUUUAGAAAAGUCCGAAUGACUUUUGAAAGAAAAGCCAUAAUAAUACAAAGAAACUGGAAAGAUAAUAACAUAUGGUUGUUUGUUAGGGGCCGCUGUACAGGCUUGAAAGUUGUGGACUACAGUAUGUGUCUGGAUUACAGUGUGUGUCUGGCUGUUUAAUGCUUAAUGUAUUAAUGAUACAGAAUUGCCUGUAGGUUACAAAUUAUUCACUGACAGGGAUAUAUGGACAGCAUCAUUCUCUAUUAUUUUUUACAGUCAUGCCAUUAUGCAAUGUACAUAAUUCUAAAAUGUCAAAAAAAAUCAUUUGUUAGGGAGAAGGCAAUGCAAGGACUCACAAGACAGCUGCUAAAGACCAAAGGAAUCAAAGCAUUUCAUGCCCCAUGGAGCUUUUUUAUAUGCACAUUUCAAUUCUGUGACUCUUGUAAACUUCACCAGAGGUAAGAACAUUGAGAUCAUAAAUGCUAGUUACAACCACCAUCAUUUAACUUUUAUGUUAGUUAUACUUGUCUGCUGUAGGACUUAGGUCACUGUCACAUCCAGAAUUUUUCUCUGUGUUAAUUCUGAACUGGACCUUGUAAAAGCAAAGAUGUUUUGGGAAUAACAGUGCAGCGUGUCUGAUUUUCUGUCUGCUCAUAUCCAGAGGACCAAAUUGUGCAGGUUGUGCCUCUGUUCCAUUUAAACACAGGCAUAGACAGUUAUAUAAAAUAAUAGAGAAUAUAUGCUCAGUGUCCUCUGAACAGUGGGCCUCAUUGAUAUCACACACUGACAUCAAAACUUGACUUUACUGAGGUCACAGCAAAACUGCCAUUGAUGAAAAAGGGCAUAGGUUUCACUUCUAGAGUUUACUCUGCUUUCUCCUCUUUCAUGGUAAGAAUGAAUGUAAUGAAGCCCACUCUGAAAAAAGAGUUUUAAAGGUUGGGCUGAUAUUUUGCUUUGGAGCAGUAUUUAUGAAAUGAACAUUAUCAUAAACAGUCUGGUUAGAAGGAGAAUUUAUUGUUAUACAUAGAGCUGAUACCAGAAAACAAAGCAAAAAAAUUUCUCAAGUAUUUAAUGUAAUUGCUUUUAUUUGUGAGAUAAUGAGUCAAUUCUCUUUAAAGUAUGUCAUUUGGAAGUAGCAGCAACACUCCUAAUAAAGUGUAGGCGGUGGAAUGGAAACAUCAGCACCACUACAGUAAAUGUAAAGGGUUUGCCAAAGACGUGCAUAUUGAUUCUAUGAGUUGAACAAGAGAAGUAUCAAAACGAGUAUUACAGCGACCUGCAUAAAGGCUAAAAAUAACUUGACACAGGAAAUAUUAAACAUCUAGUUCAGAAGGAAUUGAAAAAUAAAUCAUACCAUUUUAGGAAGGCCUACAAAAAAGAGAAACAAACAGAAAUGUAAGAGGACAUAAAAGAAAGCAAAUAAGGUGAAAACAUGGGUCAUAAUUUUAAAAAUAUAAAGAAAUCAGAACAAAAGAUUAAUCAAAUUAAACUGAAUAGCAAACACAAUAAUAAAAGCAUACCAAGAGAAGGAGAAGGACUGUUUAGGACUCUACAGCAUGAAUAGCUCAGCAGAGAUGGUCUAGAGAGAUGGUCUUUACUGCAGCUAUAUUCCUGUACUAGAUUUGUUUACAAAAAUAGUUUCACAAAAUGCUUUCAUAGAGGACAAGGAAGAAAUUAUUCAUCACGUGGUAUUAGCUCCUCCUGGGUUUAGAUGAUAUACAUUGAUGAAAGACAUGCAAAACAUGCCUCAGUAUUUGUUAUUUUUCCAGACAGACAGCUACUAUAUGGGAUUCCCAUUGCCAUGAGGUAUCCCAUGGCAUUCAUCCCAAAGAGUAGAAUGAGAUGGCCUCACAAAUGUGAAAGUCUAAAAAGCAGCCCAUGUAUUGCAAAUGAGACAAGAUAAAGGUUAACAGAGCAAUUUCCUUAACAAAGUUACUUACGCUGGAAGAAAGUUCAAGAUUUUUUUUCAGCAUUGCACUGAUCAAUGAGAAUUAGAACUUUCAUGAAAUCUCCUUUUCCCCUUGGUUAAAAACACCAACAUAAAUACAGUGAAAUUUCUCUGAUAAGAAUUAAGAUCUCCAAGCAACAACCAUUCAUCCCCAUUACAUUAAAUCCCCAGCUGGCAGAAGGUGCUUUUUUGUACUGUAUAUAGCUCCCAUUGCUCUCAAAUUGCUUUACUGCACUGCUUUAGUCUCUUGAUUCACUACAGACUUAAGGGUAAUGAGUCUGGCACUGCCCAAAGGACCUCGUGAUACCUCCUCAUACUCAGCUAAACACAAUUAGGCUGGAGAAAUCCAGUGCCAUUGAGUUCUCAUGGUGAUUAGUGACAGCCUGAAAGAGUCAAGAAUGAAGAGAGUCUUAAAGGGUGUCUUUGCUAAGCCAAAUAGGUUGCAAAGAAUUAGUUCCUUAUUGCCAGAGUCAAAAUUCAACCACACUAAGAGCCUGCUUAAAGCACAGUUGCUGAGAAAAUGUCCCACAAGGAUGCUACAAAGAAUUAAGAUCAUAGGAAACAGAUGAUAAGGAAUAGAGAAAGGGAGGGAAAAAAUGCUAAUGAGAACAUAAUAGAUUGUGAAUGCAAAGAAAAAUUUUAGAAUUAUAGUUUAACAUGUUGUUAUGUAACUAUAUAAAUAAACUAUAAAUAGUUUAGAAAUGUAGUUUACUAGAUAUUUAAAAUGUAAGUUUGCUUGAGUUGUCUUUACUAUUACCAAUGUAACUGCUGCUCUUCUAUCGCCUGUUAUUGCCUGGGACCCUAAUUUGUCAUCUCUGUUGAUUUUGGCUGUCGGUUCCCAGAGUUUGAUUGAUUAUUGUGAGCAGCAAGAGAAUUCUCUGGUGAAAAACUGCCACAUCCUAGAAUUUAUCAAAACACAUAAUUGGCAGGAUUGUGAAUUUGCACUUUCUGUGUACAGUGUUGGAAUCUAAAAUGAAUAUGAAACCUAGCUUUAUAGGCUGUUUCUUUAAACUAGGUCAAGGAAAGAUUAUGGUUACAUCAUUCAGUUUGCUGCACAGUCAAGCAGCUGAGGAAAUUUCCCAUUUAUUUGAUAUUUUUUAUGGACUAUGGAAAUCUCAACAUUAGGCCAUGCUUACUGUCAGAGCCUCCAGGACUUCAGAACGGAGAUUAUACUGCACUGAUGUCACUUGUGGGCUGAAUAUAAACACUGUAGGUGUAGACAUAAAGGGGAUAGUUACAUAAAAUUAAUAGCAAAAAAAAAUGUCUUUGUACUCCCUGAAGCAAGCAACAAAAGUGUCUUUGUGAGUGCAGUUCUACACACAUUGCUGUUGUCAGCCAAUUGGGCUAUGACCUAGAACUUAGCCAACUAUAAAACCAAUAAUAAACUACAGAAAGAGCAACUCUUCACACUGAUGGUAAGUACUCAGAGGCUAAAUCAUGAAAAGAAUAAAGUUUUCAGUUUAUCUUAACAUAAUGGAAUUAUCUCGCCAUUUCUGAUUUUACUAAUACAGACAAAAUUAAGGACUGUAAAAAAAAAAUCAAUCUGCUUUUAUCUAAGGCCUUUAUACCACGAACAAUCCAAGAACAGCAGGGUUUGUGAAUUCUGGAGCAAGACUGAUAUAGAAGAUCUGUUUUAAUGGUAAAAUCACAGCUGCACUGCCUUCAUGAACACAGCAGGUUUACAAGGUGGAUCUGAGCACAUAGUUUGUUUUUAUUUGCCAGUGUGAUGGGAUACGAGAAGCUGUUGUAGGUCUGUCCUUUCCAAUUACUGAGUUUAUCUGCUUAUGUUUGGGCUCAGACUUUUAGUAUAAGCACCAUAAAAGGUGGGGCUCAGCCCUGAGAAACUGCAUAAUUUCUCUGCUAUUACAGCUGAUGAUCAAGCACUGCCUAGCAUAUUCCCUGCAUUUACGUCAGCUUUUUCUUCAUUUUGCUGCUAAUCUCUAGUUGAGAGCUUACACAGCCCGGGAGCAGUGUCAUACUGCUUGUCCUUUGAAAUUCAUCUUUUGUUGUUCCUUACAGCCAUGCAAAAUGGAUCUCACGGAACUGUUCGGAGCAAGAUGAUAUUUAAAUCUCCUUUUCUGUACACAAGGAGAUGACCCCACUGACAACUGACUUCCAACAGAAGGUUGCUAACCCUGAAGUGCCAUCCCACUGAGAUAUUUAAGGAAAUAUGGGGGCAAUGGGUAUCAGAUGCAUAACUUUCUGAGGAAUGUUAAACCCCUAGUAGAACAAGGUUAAAUCCAGAAAAACCAGUUACAACUCUGUGUCUUGCAGACAGAGUCUAGGUUACUCUUUGGGGCUACCUGUGACUGUCCGCUCAUAAAUUUGGAAAUCACAGCCAAGGGAUGUUAAGCACUUCUGUAAUAUUCACUCUCAGUGAGAGCUGACAUCAGGCUUCUUGGAGCCCAUCCAUGGGUUAAAGUAAAAACCCUUCCCUUUUUCUGUCCAACUCUAGAGUGACUUGCACAACUACAUAACAAUCCCAGGGAUGCCCAUCAAGCCCUGAUUGCUCACCCCUAAAACCGACUUUGCAACCAGCCACUAGUGCUUGUCUGGCUGUCUCUCCUAAAAACCUGGGGCAGAGAAAGGUGCUCUUGUUCAUUGUGAUAUAGCUUAAAGAAAAAAAAUUCCAACAGCUUUUGUAUUACCAAAAUGUUCUGCUGUUUGCAGAAAGCCCUGAGCAGCAUACCAACAAAAGCAUGACCUUCCUGCACAAAUAAUGGCAUAUGGAAAGGCAGCUCCUUCUGCAGGGCAGUGGGAACAGUAGGUUAUGAGUGAUGAAAGUCUUCAAGGGCACUUUGCUUGAAAUGGUGCUGUGUACUUUCUCUGCCCUAGUGCAGACACACCACUUAUCACUCUAAUUGAAUCAGUGACUUAUUCUUAUAGACUAACGCAGGCAUUGGCAUUCCUGGAAGGCUGUGAAAGAUGCAGGGAUAAAGACAAGUAGGUCUGCACUGUCUGGAGCGUUGUGUCACUGCCAUUUCAUGUACGUGUAGUGCUAACACCCAUGCUAUGGUAGCACACUGGGACAAAGUGACACUCAUAUGUAUCUAGAUGUGUUGCCUCCCACAUAAAAGGCCCUUUUUUGUCUUUGUGGGACGUAACUUAGCAUGUACAAUAAUACUUUUCUCACCGGUCUCAGAGACCCACAGCAAUUCCCAAAACCUGAACAUCUGACCACCAUUGUUCUGGUUUUCCUUUACUAUUUUUAUGGUUUUUGCAGUUUUGUAUAAAUGGCUUGCAUAUCUCAGUGUCUCAGUUCAUUACAAUGACCAAGGGACGAUUCCCUUUCAGUUUAGGAUUCCUGAGACUCACCAAGCACAACGGUUCAAACUUCAUCAGGAAAACAAACUGGUGCCUGCCUUCUGCCAGCACACCCAGUGAGGACAGUACUUGGUCAUUUAGUCAGUGUGUGUGUGUGUGUGUGUGUGUGCACUUCUGGGUCAGAUGUUAAUGCCCAAGGAAAGCAGAUUAUUGAGGGUGAAAAAAACCCUCUAAUAAAAAAACCACAGCUCUGUGUUACUUAUAACAUA